UGAUAAUGGCUUACUGGUAGAGCGUCCGCCUCGGAUGCGGGAGGUCGCGGAUUCGAACCACAGCCGAGUCAUAUCAA